UGAUCUACAUUUUGAACCUACUUUUGAGGUGA
rnacentral:piRNA from 1 species